AUGAACACUUCAAGGAGGAAUGCUUAUACCAACAGAUUGGAGAAACAACAAUUUGCAUGUAACAAGUUUAGGAAGCCAAAAGAGGAUGAUGUAGGAGUUGAGUUGCCACCUGUGCUAGAUCCUAUACCAGACCCCAAACCUUUGGGUGAAGAAGAUGAAAUGUAAGAAGUGCCAAUAUUUGAUGGAGAAGAGAGUGGACAAAAGAAGAAGACGAAGAAGAAGAAGCGCAAGAAGAUAAAGCAAACACAAUGUAAGGCAAAACUGCUGGUUGAAUUGAACGACGGGCGGUGGGAAGUAACCCACUUUGUCCGUGAUCAUAAUCAUCCUUUGGGCGCCAAUCCUUCACUAUCCAAAUACUUGCGAUCUCACCAGGGUAUACCGCCGGAGGAAAAGAGGUUCCUAGAGAUACUACACAACUGUUGGGGAACGUAG
rnacentral:rRNA from 1 species